UUGAAUCGGUAACACUUACGAUGACCAAUAAAAUGGGUUAUCUGGAGAUAAAGAAACCUAAUACUUAAUUCCAAGCCAACAAAGACCCAAACCUGAUAAGUACAUAAUUUUGGCUAUUCAUAAUAUCAUUCAAUUACCAGUUGUAAAACAGCAAAUUGACCACUUAUUCAGGAUAAAAGCAUUGGGACACAAAGUUUGGACCCACAUCAAGCAUAUGCAGCAGCUCAUAUAAAAGGCAGCAUUAACGUGUUGGUUAUUAUGAUGAGAAAAUUAAGUAGAACUAAGUAAAAUUCUAUCAACAAAAGUCCUCUGAUCUUUUUGGAUCAUAAAGAGUUUUCUAGACUAUCUAAAGUACCUCUAGGUCAAAGAGAGUUAUUGGACCUCUUUCUGUUAAAAUAAACUGAGUAUUUUAACAAAGAAAGACCACUAUAUGAAACCAAAAGUAAAUCUCCUCUUCCUCAAGAUUGCAGAUGGAACGUUAACAAUAUAGAUUAACAUAAUGAAGUUCCAACCAAGAAAUAAACCCUUUUUUUGCUCAACCUUUUUUUUAUUUUGGUUAAUAAGCGCUCCAUCUCUUCAUGACAACUAGCAACAAGAUGGAUAUGUUGCAUCCCAAUUACAAAAUGCAAUAUACUCCAACCUUAACAUUAAGCAAUAGGUCCCACAUACAGUCUAGCAAAAAUUACAACACACUGUUACAAAAAUUUACAACUAGCUCAAUCUCGACCCGAUCUGGACCCGACCCGACCCUUUUUUUUGGGAUCAAUUUUGGAUCGUUUACCAAAAGACCCGACCCAAAUUCGAAUUACCCUUUUAGACCCGCAGCCCGCAAGAAAAAAGUGCUCCGAGUCUCGUGACUCCUCAGGCCCAUAGGCUCUCAGCCCGCUAGCCAUAGCCCAUAAGAUAUAAGUCCCUUCUUCGCUUCCAAGUCCCCUAGAUCUGGAGAAGAGAAGACCAUUUUCGGCUGCGGCGAAGGAACCCUAGAUCUAGAGAAGACCCUAUCCAGAUGUCCCUUCUUUCCGGACCAAUCUCCCCCUUUUGUGAGCCCGUGAGUCUCUUCGGUGUCCAACCAAGAAAUAUUUUUAGCAUAGGCCGAGAAGAGGUUAAAACAAGGGGGGCUUGUCUUGUAAAAGGGCAACAAGGUCGGACUUGAGGGAGAGGGAGAGGGAGAGGUGCAAGUCGUCGGGGGUAGUCGGGAGAUUUGGAGGAGGGGCGGGAGAAGAAGAAACCCAUCUUGCCAGCAAGGAAGUUGAAGGAUCGAAGCUUUCCAUGAAAGCAAAAAGUGGGAGAGAGAGAGAGAGGGUGGGGGACAAAGCUGACUAUUUUCUCUCNNNNNNNNNNNNNNNNNNNNAAGGAAGUUGAGGAUCGAAGCUUUCCAUGAAAGCAAAAGUAGGAGGAGAGAGAGAGAGAGUGGGGGGCCAAAGCUGACAUUUUUCUCUCUUCGAUUUUUGGGGGAGUUGGGUCUCGCCCUUAUUAAUGCCUCCCAUUGGAAGUGAGAGAGGAUUGAAAUCGUGAGAGAGGUGUGGCUUUUUUCUCCUAUUUUUUGGGGUUGUUCUUUCCCCGUCUAGCUUUGCUCUGUGUUUUUGGAUUGGAGAGGGGUGAGCAAGGUGAUGCGUUGGGGACAAUGUCGGGCUCGCCUUCUCUGUCCGCGGAGAAGAAACACUAGCGGCUGAGCAACAAGCAAGUGAGUGAAAGGUUUCAGCCUUCUCUUGGUUUUCUCAGGAUUUUUGGCUCAGGCAUGGAGGUUUUGGGAUCGGGUUGAAGCCAUUGGUCUUUUUCUUUGAGAGAACUCAGCCAUUGGUCUUUAUCCCAAGCUUCCUGCUUACUGCAUAUUUCUUUUGGAACUAAUCCUUGCAUCUGGAAUUUGCUAGUUAAAUAGAAGUUACUGUUCCUUUUUGCCUCUUCUAUGAGACGAACUUUCACUAAAUUAAUUUCUUAAAUUCAAGAAAGGUUGUAAAAAAUGUGAUCUUUUCAGGUUGAUUUGGUUUGUGUUAGGGUAUUUGGGGAUCCGACCCGGACCCGGACUCGACCCGAACAUGACCCGACCCGAACCUAAAUUUUUUGGGUCGGGUCUGGGUUAUACAUGGAUCUGACUCGACCCGAAUGACCCAUUGGGUCUUGUAAGCCUGAACCCGACCCAACCCGAUCUUCAACUGGGUUGGGUAUGUGUCCAAAAUAAGGACCCGAACAAGAAACUGGGUCGGGUGAGUGACCCGACCCGACCCAUUUUGCACCCCUACCCAUUCAUGACAAAGUACCUAUCUAUAUUUACUAGAAAUUAUGUUUGUGAAAAAUAUAAUACAAAGUUAAAAGGUCAAAAUUAAAUAAUUGCAAGCUCAAACAACCUAAUAACGACAAGCAUAUUGAAUAUGGUCAAUAAGAUGUCAAUAGCACAUAUCUGCCUGCUAUGAGUCCGAAAAAGAACAAAAAGGUACGAUGCAAUAAUUAUCAAGGAAAAAAAAAGACGCAUGAAAGAAGUAGACAUAAAACAUAAUAGAUUAAAAUGGAAGGAAAAGGAUAAAGAGCACACAGACAUAUCGGUAACCUUUCCAAGAAAAGGUUGCAUAUUAAGCAAUAACAUGAAACGUGUAAGCUAAGAGCAUAAGCAUCUGCACAUGGCACACAGUAGGUAAUCCAUUACUAAAUCAACAAGGUUGACCAUCUAUCUUGAUUCUUGAAUUAACUUUAUCCAUCCUAUUUCACCAUUCGUGCUAUUGUAUCAACAAUAAUUGUGUCUUCAAAUAAUUUCUUGCAACUUAAUAUUUAUAUCAUGCAAUCACAUUGCCAAGCUCUCCUCUAUUACAUGGAAUAUUCUCUUUAAAUGGGUCAUCUUUGUCCUCAACAAGGACACUCGUGAUGCCUCAAGAAGCUGUCUGUCACUUAUCCUAUGUUUGUCUCCCAGCUAAGUAUGACAUUUCGUGCAAUUUGAAUGUCUAGACUUAAAUUCAAACAUCUACAAUUUAAGAUAACAAAAAAAACACCCUGAUUGCAAUGACCUUGACAAGUAAUCAAGUUUAAAAAAGCUAUAAAUUAACACCAAGUGAAGAAUUGGGAAAAAUAAUAAAAAAUACUUAGAAAACAUGGUGCUACACUGACUUUAAAAAAAAUGAUAUUUACCAUGAUAGAAACAAAGGUCAUGACACAAAUGUACAAACUAAGAACUUGGGAGACUAAAAGCACAUAAAAAAGACAAAGUUACAAGAUACGGUUAGAUUUCUCAGAGAAUGACUUCCAUUAGUAUAACAACUAAGAUGACGAACAGUGAUAUGAUGAAUAUUAGAAAAAAGAAACUUGCGUAAUUUAGAAGUAAUGGUUUUAGCAGUGUCCUUACUGAAGAUAAAAACUAUCAUCAAAUGAACAAUUUAAUAUUCUAAUGAAGACGACAAAGAUAUUCAAGCUUUUAGUUGAUGCCAAUCAUUUAUAAUUGUGGUUAUAUCAGGUUCAGAUGACAUAGCAAGAACAAAUAUUUACUUUGAAUAAAUUUGUGCAAUAGGCAAGAAGAAGCAUGAAACGAAUCCCAGCUGAACUUCUUACGACGGCUAUAUUAGUAGAUAUACUUGGCAAUAUAUAAAUGUGGAGGAUCACUAGAUCACCAAAGGCCCAACAUCAAAAUCUUUGUUGAUGCAGCCAGCAUAAUGACAAAUUGUCCAAUUUUCAAGACAAAAUGGUGAUAAAGGUCAAUCCAACCAUAAAU
rnacentral:lncRNA from 1 species